rnacentral:rRNA from 1 species
AGCGAACGCUGGCGGCAGGCCUAACACAUGCAAGUCGAACGAAGCCUUCGGGCUUAGUGGCGGACGGGUGAGUAACACGUGGGAACGUACCUUUUGGUUCGGAACAACUCAGGGAAACUUGCGCUAAUACCGGAUGAGCCCUUAGGGGGAAAGAUUUAUCGCCGACAGAGCGGCCCGCGUUAGAUUAGCUAGUUGGUGAGGUAAAGGCUCACCAAGGCUACGAUCUAUAGCUGGUCUGAGAGGAUGAUCAGCCACACUGGGACUGAGACACGGCCCAUACUCCUACGGGAGGCAGCGGUGGGGAAUCUUGCGCAAGGGGCGAAAGCCUGACGCAGCCAUGCCGCGUGAAUGAUGAAGGUCUUAGGAUUGUAAAAUUCUUUUACCAGGGACGAUAAUGACGGUACCUGGAUAAAAAGCCCCGGCUAACUUCGUGCCAGCAGCCGCAGUAAUAC